GUUUUUUUUGGGCGUGUUUGUGGAGAGCAUAGCUAGGGGAGCUCCUCUUCGGCAGCGGGGGUAGAGGGCAAGGCGGCGGCGGCGGGGGCACGAGGGACAACCAAAAGCAGGUCACGAGGGACAACCAAAAGGGGGAGGCGUAGCGACCUAGGUUGAGGAGGGAGAGGGAGCCAGAACGGAGAGGAGCUACAGCGAGCCAGGAGAGCCCCAAGCGGUGGGCGGCAGCAUGGGGCGGCGGCACGAGGCGACAACGGGGAGGGAGGCGGACGGAGCGGGGACGAGAUCCCAAGCGGUCGGCGGCGGCCGGGGGCGGCGGGACGAGGCGACAACGGGCAGGGAGGCGGACGGAGCGGGGGGAGGGGAUGUGAGUGGGGACGGGCUAGACCUAGACCUACUCCGCAACGGAGGGCAAGGAGAGUAGUGCAGGGAACACGGUUGGUACCUUCUCCCCUCCUUCUUCAUCUUCGAAGAGACAUCUUAGUCGGCUAGCUCGCCCCGAGAACUAGAACCGAUCGCUCUUAAGCCGUCUAGAGCAGCUACGACAUCCCGGACCGGGCAAGGUACAGAGACCCUUUCCUCUCCUUCCACCUCCUCCUCGUGGUCCCCUGCUACGACGUCAGCAGCCCCUGCGAGACCCCGCUCCCGAGGCUCUGCAGCGGCGGUGGACGCGACUUGGGGUCCCGUCCCACGCUGCUCGGAUCGUUCCUCAUGAACGGCCGGCAUGUGUCCACCCGAGGUGACACCGGAAAUCGGUGAGACGGACGUUCGAGCUGCGGUAUCAAACUGUCCCGGUUCCACCAUCAUCUGCUACUGCUUAUACCGCGGGACCGACAGAGACAAGUACUCUAAGGAGAUACCACCGGCUUAAACAUAGUGUGGUCCGACGAGGGGAGCAUAACGUUUAGUCUCGAUCGAAUAUAAGUAGGUAUCCAGUACCGACUGAGGUUUCCGUUGUGAGGAGGUCAGGAGGACACGCACUACCGUUUCGAUACGAUGUACUAUAAUAGUCGAUACUCUAUAAUAAACUUCUUGGUACGUUUCGUUAAACUCUACUACGUAUAUUUCGUAGAACCUAAAUAAUUCACAAAAAUUCAUAAGUUAAAUAAUUCUCAAGUGAGUAGUAACGGCUGGCAUGUGUCCGCUCGCUAAGUCCCAAUAACAAGCUUAACCGAUAUUAUACACCCCCAAUAACAAGCUUCACCGAUAUUUUACACCGAGAUCUCCACGACCUCGACGUUUGAACGGCUCCGGUCGUAUUCUUCACUACCUCAAUAGAAGAUGAAAAUAAACAAGUACAACAGAGUUGUUUAACUGAACACAAAUACCGCUGAAAAAAUACACAGGUACCUAGUCUCUCCUACCUACUACGUCACCGGUGUAGUUCGCGGGAUACGAGCUGCUGUUACCUUUACGUCAAAGAGUCUCGAUCGUCCUUCCUCCGACUACCGAAGGGCAACAUCAUUGCGCUACCUCUUCUCUGUUCUGUGGUCCGAACAUUUGUUGAUGUUACUAUAAUGUGUAGUGAAAGACAUGAUGUAAAUACACGUAAGCCUAGAGCGGUUCCGAUUCUUUAGACGGAGCAUCGGGGUUGAUUACGUAGUUGAACCUUGGUUCCAGGUGGGAGAUUAUUAGUCGUAUAUACGGCGUACACAGUCUGAGUACCCCCAGUUUGUCUACUCCUCUUCCUUCGUCGUUCCUUCUUCCAUCUCCUCUACCUAUGGACUAGACGUUCAAGGACUUAAAGUUGUAAAUAACGCACAACGACACAAUUAUAACCCACGUCGUUAAAGUGUUGAGACCCUUUUCGAAGACGACCUCCUGUAGUGGACGCCGUAGUGGACGUAGCUGGAGAGCGACUAAUGGUAGGGUUCCUACGCGCUGGCUGACCGCCUCGUCCCGUGGUCACUAUUCAAGUGGCUAAACCAGCUGAGUGGCAAGGGAAGGAGACAGGUGCGUUACGGCGAGCAACAACAAUCCAACAAUUAAGUAGUUCGGGGAAUAACGCGAUGUAUCAAACAAGUAGAGCGUACGGAAGAAUCCUCUUUAGUACAUUACUUCUAUUCGAUAAGAACUAAAUGUAAAAUAAAUAAAGAAGGACGAUGAACAUACUAAACGAAACCUUUAGAAGACUGAUGAACGUGCUUAAAAUCUUGGAUGAACAUGUCAACGGACGUAAAACACAAACUCUUUGUAGACGACUAAUUCACAUUUUAUUAUGAACGUUCAAGACAAACAACUGACGCGGUACUAUUCGAAAUCCGGAAGUCGACAUGUUUUGACGAUUUCAUCCACUGUUGGUGGACGUCGAGUUAGGAACAAAAAGAGUUGUAACUGUUCCAUUUCAUUUACCCCUCGGUUCUAGCUAACAACAUUCGGAAAAUGACUGAUACUCGUUCCCCUAGAUCUCUCCUCGUGACGUUAUACUCUUACGGGAAGUAAUCGAGACUAAAAGGGAAAAACAUUAUGAUCGAAUCUCCCUAAAGACUUUGCUCAUCUUCUAAUUAUUGAAGAUGCUGUAGUUUCUAGAGACUCGAAAAUCUCAUACGUCGAAUAACUAAAUGAAUAGCUAAAUAAGUGUGAGAUAGUCCAAAGAGAACUUGCACUACGAAAUAAAUAACAUGACUUGUCACCUUCGAUUGACAAAGAAAUAUGUCUUAAUCGGACGUGGUAAAAACAUUCAAGAGGAACUAUGGUUAAACGUAUGAACGC
rnacentral:rRNA from 1 species